rnacentral:rRNA from 1 species
UACAGAGGAUGCAAGCGUUAUCCGGAAUGAUUGGGCGUAAAGCGUCUGUAGGUGGCUUUUUAAGUCCGCCGUCAAAUCCCAGGGCUCAACUCUGGACAGGCGGUGGAAACUACCAAGCUCGAGUACGGUAGGGGCAGAGGGAAUUUCCGGUGGAGCGGUGAAAUGCGUAGAGAUCGGAAAGAACACCAACGGCGAAGGCGGUUCUCUGGGACGGUACUGACGCUGAGACGCGAAAGCGUGGGGAGCGAACAGG